ensembl:lncRNA
GGAAUGUGUGGCCCAAUUCACCUCUGGAGAGGAGAACAUUUUUUGUUUUUUACCUUUUUUUUCCUUCUGAUAGGGUCUUCAGCCUCUGACUGUAUGUCUGAUGUUAAACACACUAACCAAGACCCUCACGUCACCAUGCACGUCCCACGCUGCACCUGGAGGAAGUUGGUGCGCGACUGCCUUCUGGAGGCGGUUAUGAUCGUAAGAACUAGGAGGCCAGAAACAAUUCCAUGACUCCCCUGCCUCCUCCAACCAGCUGCUUGGCACUAUGGUAGUGCUCUAUCUUUGAAUUCGACGACCUUCCACACCUGUGCCAUCUGUCAAUGAGAAGACAAGGAAUUAGGAUUGGUGAAGAAGAGGGAUGGCAACAUAAUGGUCUUGGUCUGUGAAAAAGCACACAUUUUCUGCUGAC